UACGUAGGUCUCGAGCGUUGUCCGGAUUUAUUGGGCGUAAAGCGAGCGCAGGUGGUUUAUUAAGUCUGGUGUAAAAGGCAGUGGCUCAACCAUUGUAUGCAUUGGAAACUGGUAGACUUGAGUGCAGGAGAGGAGAGUGGAAUUCCAUGUGUAGCGGUGAAAUGUGUAGAUAUAUGGAGGAACACCGGUGGCGAAAGCGGCUCUCUGGCCUGUAACUGACACUGAGGCUCGAAAGCGUGGGGAGCAAACAGG
rnacentral:rRNA from 1 species